UGCAGUCGUACGAGAGUUUUUAACUCAAGUGGCGGACGGGUGAGUAACACGUAAGAAUUUGCCUUUAGGAGGGGGAUAACAUUUGGAAACGAAUGCUAAUACCCCAUAUGCUUUUAAGUGAAAUGGUAUUUUAUAUUAGCUUUUAUGUUAAUAUGUUAAUCUAUAAUUUUAAAUAUUAUUUAUAACCGCCUAAAGAGAAGCUUGCGGCUGAUUAGCUUGUUGGUAAGGUAAUGGCUUACCAAGGCGACGAUCAGUAUCUGGUUUGAGAGGAUGAUCAGACACACUGGAACUGAGACACGGUCCAGACUCCUACGGGAGGCAGCAGUGGGGAAUUUUCCGCAAUGGGCGAAAGCCUGACGGAGCAAUACCGCGUGAGGGAUGACUGCCUAUGGGUUGUAAACCUCUUUUUUCAGGGAGGAAUAAAUGACGUUACCUGAAGAAUAAGCAUCGGCUAACUCCGUGCCAGCAGCCGCGGUAAGACGGAGGAUGCAAGUGUUAUCCGGAAUCACUGGGCGUAAAGCGUCUGUAGGUGGUUUAAUAAGUCAACUGUUAAAUCUUGAGGCUCAACCUCAAAACUGCAGUCGAAACUAUUAGACUAGAGUAUAGUAGGGGUAAAGGGAAUUUCCAGUGGAGCGGUGAAAUGCGUAGAGAUUGGAAAGAACACCGAUGGCGAAGGCACUUUACUGG
rnacentral:rRNA from 1 species